UACAGAGGGUGCAAGCGUUAAUCGGAAUUACUGGGCGUAAAGGGUGUGUAGGUGGCGGUGUAAGUUAGGUGUGAAAUCCUCGGGCUUAACCUGAGAAUUGCGCUUAAUACUGCAUUGCUAGAGUACUGUAGAGGGUAGUGGAAUUUCCAGUGUAGCGGUGAAAUGCGUAGAUAUUGGAAGGAACACCAGUGGCGAAGGCGACUACCUGAAUAGAUACUGACACUGAGGCACGAAAGCGUGGGUAGCAAAC
rnacentral:rRNA from 1 species